rnacentral:rRNA from 1 species
UACGAGGGGGGCAAAUGUUGUUCGGAAUCACUGGGCGUAAAGGGAGCGUAGGCGGGUUCUUAAGUAAGGUGUUUAAUCCCGGGGCCCAACCCCGGACCGGCACUUUAAACUGGGAAUCUUGAAUAGUGGAGAGGUCAGUGGAAUUGGGGGUGUAGCGGUGGAAUGCGUAGAGAUCCCCAAGAACACCAGUUGCGAAGGCGGCCGACUGGACACAUAUUGACGCUGAGGCUCGAAAGCAUGGGGAGCAAACAGG